rnacentral:rRNA from 1 species
UACGGAGGGGGUUAGCGUUGUUCGGAAUUACUGGGCGUAAAGCGCACGUAGGCGGAUCAGAAAGUUGGGGGUGAAAUCCCGGGGACUCGAACCCCGGAACACUGCCUCCAAAACUCCUGGUCUUGAGUUCGAGAGAGGUGAGUGGAAUUCCGAGUGUAGAGGUGAAAUUCGUAGAUAUU